GUCCGAUUGCCUCCAUGGCAUACUCAACCUGGUACAGGCGGCCUUCUGGAGAAAAUAUGGUGGUUCUGGAGUCAUAUCUUCGAGACAUGGUGCCGGAGCGGCGGGGCAGCGGGCUCACAGCGGGCCGGGGAACGCGCGAUGUGCCGAAGGGACGCUGAGGUGCGGCCGGCGGGAAGAACCGGGCGCUACCGCCUCCCCCACACCUGCACCGCGGCGUCGGAAAUGGCCGCCGCGCCUGCGCGGUGCGUG
rnacentral:lncRNA from 1 species